AGAACUAGGGCGAGGCCGGUGUGUUGUAGUGUUAGAACUAGGGCGAGGUCUGUGUGUUGUCGUGUUAGAACUAGGGCGAGGUCUGUGUGUUGUAGUGUUAGAACUAGGGCGAGGUCUGUGUGUUGUCGUGUUAGAACUAGGGCUAGGUCUGUGUGUUGUAGUGUUAGAACUAGGGCGAGGUCUGUGUGUUGUAGUGUUAGAACUAGGGCGAGGUCUGUGUGUUGUAGUGUUAGAACUAGGGCUAGGUCUGUGUGUUGUAGUGUUAGAACUAGGGCUAGGUCUGUGUGUUGUAGUGUUAGAACUAGGGCUAGGUCUGUGUGUUGUUGUGUUAGAACUAGGGCUAGGUCUGUGUGUUGUCGUGUUAGAACUAGGGCGAGGUCUGUGUGUUGUAGUGUUAGAACUAGGGCGAGGUCUGUGUGUUGUAGUGUUAGAACUAGGGCGAGACCGGUGUGUUGUAGUGUUAGAACUAGGGCGAGGCCGGUGUGUUGUAGUGUUAGAACUAGGGCGAGGCCGGUGUGUUGUAGUGUUAGAACUAGGGCGAGGCCGGUGUGUUGUAGUGUAGUAUUAGAACUAGGGCGAGGCAGGUGUGUUGUAGUGUUAGAACUAGGGCGAGGCCAGUGUGUUAGAACUAGGGCGAGGCCGGUGUGUUGUAGUGUUUGAACUCGGCCGAGGCCGUUGUAGUGUAGUAUUAGAACUAGGGCGAGGCCGGUGUAGUGUUAGAACUAGGGCGAGGCCGGUGUAGUGUAGUGUUAGAACUAGGGCGAGGCCGGUGUGUUGUAGUGUUAGAACUAGGGCGAGGCCGGUGUGUUGUAGUGUUAGAACUAGGGCGAGGCCGGUGUGUUGUAGUGUUAGAACUAGGGCGAGGCCAGUGUGUUGUAGUGUUAGAACUAGGGCGAGGCAGGUGUGUUGUAGUGUAGUAUUAGAACUAGGGCGAGGCAGGUGUGUUGUAGUGUUAGAACUAGGGCGAGGCCGGUGUGUUGUAGUGUUUGAACUCGGCCGAGGCCGUUGUAGUGUAGUAUUAGAACUAGGGCGAGGCCGGUGUAGUGUUAGAACUAGGGCGAGGCCGGUGUAGUGUAGUGUUAGAACUAGGGCGAGGCCAGUGUGUUGUAGUGUUAGAACUAGGGCGAGGCCGGUGUGUUGUAGUGUUAGAACUAGGGCGAGGCCGGUGUGUUGUAGUGUAGUAUUAGAACUAGGGCGAGGCAGGUGUGUUGUAGUGUUAGAACUAGGGCGAGGCCAGUGUGUUGUAGUGUAGGGCAAGGCCAGUGUAGUGUUAGAACUAGGGCGAGGCCGGUGUGUUGUAGUGUUAGAACUAGGGCUAGGCCGGUGUGUUGUAGUGUUAGAACUGGGGCUAGGCCGGUGUGUUGUAGUGUUAGAACUAGGGCUAGGCCGGUGUGUUGUAGUGUUAGAACUAGGGCUAGGCCGGUGUGUUGUAGUGUUAGAACUAGGGCUAGGCCGGUGUGUUGUAGUAUUAGAACUAGGGCGAGGCCGGUGUGUUGUAGUGUUGGAACUAGGGCGAGGCCGGUGUGUUGGAACUAGGGCGAGGCCGGUGUGUUGGAACUAGGGCGAGGCCGGUGUGUUGGAACUAGGGCGAGGCCGGUGUGUUGGAACUAGGGCGAGGCCGGUGUGUUGGAACUAGGGCGAGGCCGGUGUGUUGGAACUAGGGCGAGGCCAGUGUGUUUGUAGUG